UGAUUUUUACACUCGCACAUAGGUUCCAUUGUUGGAGUGGUUUGUUCUGUAGAGAAAAGAGAUACUAGGAGUUUGAAUUCACUAUUCGAAUUUAGUUUUGAAACUCGUGUCCAAUCACUUAAAUCUUAGGAAAACCCACUUUUUCCUUCAUUUUUUCAUCUCUCUCUCUCUCUCUACACUCCACUUUUCUCUUUUUCUUAUCUCUCUCUAAAGAAACUCUCACCAACCCUCAUAAAUCCUUCCAUCCACCAAAAUUCGUUGAUUUUCUUGACCCUUGUUCUUGAGAUCAUUUUGGAGAGCAUCCCGAGGAGGGCGUUUUUGUGUGAUGGAGAUCGGAUUUUGGCAUUGUGGAAAAUUUAGGGCUUUUCAUCGUUUCCUCUCCUAUACUUGAUUUAGUAACAUUACAUUAAAGAUUGAAUAUGAGUUUAUAAUUCUACAUUGAUUGUCAGCAAGGUGAACCCUGUAGCAAUGGCCGGCAGGCCCUCAUCACUGGCUGGCUGGCCACUGAUGCAAAAUUCAACAAUGUGUUUUUUAGGCAAAACAGAGUUAUUCUGGAAGUGGGCAACAGUGUAUGUGUUCUUUGUGCAACAGAGGCUCUCUGGAAACAAAACAGUGGCCUUUUCGGGUGGAAACCAAGCAUGCGCAUAAACAUCCCUCGUUUCUCGAGGCAAAAUAAUUAGCCUAGUACUUAAUUAUUUAGAUUACUUACUUCUUUUAAUUGC